rnacentral:lncRNA from 1 species
UGGAGAUCGCUGGAGGCCGGAGGCAGCGGAUCGAUCCAGAUUUUCUGCCGCAGGUGACCGGGUGAGAGCAUGAAUCGGGGACAGCAACACGGAUCUUCGUCUUGCGCCGCCGCCGACGAUGGAGCAGUCGAAAUCGUGAAUCCAACACACGUUCCCCCACGGUCGGCGUAAAUGACAAGGGGCUACCUCGGCAUACCCAAACUAGAAGACCAAUGUCACCGGUCAAAGGGUU